AAAGCCCUACAUAGCAGGUAUAGCCUAGGCCUAUGACACGUGGAAAAUCGUGGAAGAGCUCCUUGGGUUCCUAGAAUGGUCUUCAGUGCCAAAGCACCCAAAGCAAUGUUUCAAGUUUUAAGCCUAAUUUAGAGGUUUAGCGUUUGCCAAACCUAAGUAAUUGUAGAGGGCAGGGGGAGAAGGGGUGGUACAUAGGAGCAUACCAAAUCUGCACUACCCAUUAGGACUCCUCCUGCUUAGGUUCCUGCGCUACCCUACCCUCAAAUACCAGUCUUGCCAAUUUUUAGCUUCCUCUCAGCAGAGCUGUUAUGCCACAGCCCAAGCAUACCAACAAAGAGACCUCCAUGCCUUUAAACAGUGCUACUUUUCCAGGCAUGGAUUUUCCCUGCCCUCAGCUCCCAGCCAGACUGGCUCUCUGGUGCAGGAUUAAUUUGGCGGAAGGGCACCUUCAAUACACUCCCAUUGGUUUUGCUUACCAUAAUGGAGAACAACAGCAUAAUGGUCAAGCAUGGGGAGAAAGGGAGCAUACAAGUGCCUGCAUGAGUGAAUUCAUGCAUUUACACUCUUUCAUUUUCUCCAGAUGUGGUGCUUAGGGUUUGUAACAUUGCAGUAAGCUGUGUAGCUCUGUCGAUGUUUUUGCAGCGUCCUGUGGGAGGAUUCAUCUGUCCCUACCCCAUAUCCUGGCAGAAGUAGCAUUGGUAUGGCAAAUCAUGAAAGCAAACUGGCUCUGGCUUCACAUCUGUGGUUCCAUCAGUGGCAAGGCAUUGAUCCAGUGGCUCAUUCUCUCAUGUGUGUUAAGUUAUGCAACAAGCCUGCUUGUUUGCAACUCUUGUUUUAAAUUGUCUGGGAUUAAGUCUAUUCCACGCUCCAGAUAGGUCCGUUUUCAGCUGUCUGACCCAGGCAACCCUUUGUAUAUCUGCUGCAUCCCAAGACAUCCUGCUCUCAGCUUUGGGGCUAUGCAAGUCAGCACAUUCCCUUUCUCCUGGCACAUUUCUGUACAAGCCUGCCUCUUCUCAGCUUUCUAAGCCAAUUUCAGCGAUGUCAGCGUGUGCUACAUUCCACACCUUUCUAGUCCCAGUUUCUAUCUAAACUCCAUGAAUCGAAGAACAGCACAAGACAAUCUGUUCACAGUUCCUGAUCCAGUCAGAAUAUACCCAUGUGAAAUACUUUUGGUCCAGCUGACACGAUUGCAGAGGAGAAGGAAUUAGGAUCAAGCAUCACUGUCUUAUUCCAUCUUUCUGGGCUGCCAUGGAAGAGAAAUAAUGGUACUAAAAGGGAAUCACUAUGGACUAAAGGAAGCAAGAAUCCUAACAAGGAAAAUGCCUGCAUAACUAGUAUAUAAGCAGUAAUUAGUACAUAAGAUGGUACCAAGUUCAAGACACACAAAAACUAUCAAAAGAAAGGAAAGCAUUAGUAAUUGUGUUAUUAAUUACCUAGUGAAAAAGAUUAAUAAAGAUUAAAAUUUCAACUGUAUUUCGUGAAAAACCUAGGAAGAUGAAACAACGGUGCUUUCAUGAUUCACUCACUGAAAAGGGAGCUUUUGAGAUUUAACAGGAAGCAGUCGGACUGUCAACAUGAAAGGAGCGAUUGAUCAGAGGAGAGUGCAGAGGAGCUCCCGUUACAGAGCAAGCGCAGGAAAUCUGUAUGAUGGGCAAUAAUUGUGACGACGGAGAGCCCAGACCAAAUGUUAUAGGGGGCUUCUUAAGUGAUGAGAAGGAUUAAGAGCUUACUGGUAUGAGUUAAAAGGAGGCAAACUAGUAGUAAUAGAAGUUAGGGGGGAAAAGGGGAGGCGUUUGAAGGAAGGAGAGAAUUUACAUUAAUACAAAGAUCAAAAUUCUUUGCUUUGGGUUCAGGGAAAAGGCCAAAUGGAGAAAACAAACUGACUAGAGAGAUGAAAGUUACUAGUUUUGAAAAUGGAGUACAGAUUAUUAGUGUCUUCUGAUAGCAGUGAAUGACAGAAAUCAGUGUGCUGUUGACAGCAGUGUAGAAUACGGUGGCAUCAGUAUAUCUGACAGAUGAGGAAAGCUAUUAUCUUUGUACUUUCUUCUUGAGAAUCCCAAAUUACUUUGUGCUGCAAUUCUUUAGAGGCAUGGAGAAAGUUCCUGGUCUUGAAAGAAGAUACCAGUAGGCCAAAUAUAACUGCUCAUGUUCAUAAUAGCUAGAGGAGAAAGGUUAGCAAGGGAUGGAACAAGAUGGUGAAAUCUGGCUGAAAUAGGAACAGUAUGUUCAGAAAGGCACUGGCCGGUCAUUUGCUGAGUGAUGAGAUCAUGGAAAAAACAUACAGAAUGAAAGAGCAUCAGGUAGGUGAGGUCAGGAGCGGUUCUGGGAGAUAAGCAAGGAAUCAUUCCCAGCAAAGGCAAGACUGAACUGACUGUACUGAGUGCAAUCAGACUGAGACAAAAAAAAAAAAACAACAAACAAAAACCGGAAGGAAAAUUCAGAUCAAACCACACUUCAGUUCUGCUGAUUUGCUUCGUCUAGAAGUUUACUUAAUAUUUCAUAUAGAAAUCAAGAGUUUGCAUUGAUUCCACUCCUCCAUAGUCAGUUUCAAUAAUGUAACCUCAGGACUCUGACAGCCAUUUUAAAGCAAAAGUAGGAAACUUCCUGGAAAUCAGAGAUCUUGCUAUCAACACACCUGGGACAAUCCAUCCAGAUGUGUACAGAACAUACACAAAAAAAAUAAAGUGAAGUAACACCAUCAA